CAUCAUUGGACCGACAGAUGGUGUGAAUGUUUGCUUGGAAUCAUUUAAAGGCUUAAUUAACUACAUGGCUACCUUGAUUUAGUAAAUGUCUAUAAGACACCACCUCUCAAGAAAUCUGUCCAAGAGCUUCAAUACUUGGUUUUUCAGAAUCACCUGGGCUGAGUGACUAUUGUCUACAUGGUUGAACGAUGGAAAAAUUUAAAAAUAUCUAUAAUGAAUUCAUCAUUGGAACAACAGAUGGUGUGAAUUUUUGCUUGGAAUCAUUUAAAGGCUUAAUUAACUACAUGGCUACCUUGAUUUAGUAAAUGUCUAUAAGACACCACCUCUCAAGAAAUCUGUCCAAGAGCUUCAAUACUUGGUUUUUCAGAAUCACCUGGGCUGAGUGACUAUUGUCUACAUGGUUGAACGAUGGAAAAAUUUAAAAAUAUCUAUAAUGAAUUCAUCGUUGGACCGACAGAUGGUGUGAAUGUUUGCUUGGAAUCAUUUAAAGGCUUAAUUAACUACAUGGCUACCUUGAGCUAGUAAAUGUCUAUAAGACACCACCUCUCAAGAAAUCUGUCCAAGAGCUUCAAUACUUGGUUCUUCAGAAUCACCUGGGCUGAGUGACUAUUGUCUACAUGGUUGAACAAUGGAAAAAUGUAAAUUAAAUUAUAAUAUUCGAUGAUAUAUUAAUACAUAGAAAUAUCAUUCGUAUGACAUCCGUUUAUCAUUUAAAAACAGUUUUUUUCCUAAAAUAUUCAGUAUUUAUAAUGAAGAUAUGAAAAUCCACCUUAAGAUUCACUAUACAGUGCUACAUAUCAAGUUAAAAAUAUCUAUAAUGAAUUCAUCGUUGGACCGACAGAUGGUGUGAAUGUUUGCUUGGAAUCAUUUAAAGGCUUAAUUAACUACAUGGCUACCUUGAGCUAGUAAAUGUCUAUAAGACACCACCUCUCAAGAAAUCUGUCCAAGAGCUUCAAUACUUGGUUCUUCAGAAUCACCUGGGCUGAGUGACUAUUGUCUACAUGGUUGAACAAUGGAAAAAUGUAAAUUAAAUUAUAAUAUUCGAUGAUAUAUUAAUACAUAGAAAUAUCAUUCGUAUGACAUCCGUUUAUCAUUUAAAAACAGUUUUUUUCCUAAAAUAUUCAGUAUUUAUAAUGAAGAUAUGAAAAUCCACCUUAAGAUUCACUAUACAGUGCUACAUAUCAAGGUAUAAAAAUAUUAGAAAUAAGUUAAAACGAUUUUGUAUUAAAAUAAAUUCAAUAUUCUGAUUUUGACAAUCCACUAGAUAUAAAAUUUGGAAAAAAAACACUUUACAUUUUAUAAUACUUGAUAUUUAUAAUGACGGAAUGAAAAUUGAAUAAGAUGUCUACUGUAUAUACAUCAUUAAGUUUCUAUAUUAACAAUGGUACUGACAAUACAUUUUUUUACAUUUUCAGUUAAAAAUAUCUAUAAUGAAUUCAUCGUUGGACCGACAGAUGGUGUGAAUGUUUGCUUGGAAUCAUUUAAAGGCUUAAUUAACUACAUGGCUACCUUGAUUUAGUAAAUGUCUAUAAGACACCACCUCUCAAGAAAUCUGUCCAAGAGCUUCAAUACAUUGUUUUUCAGAAUCACCUGGGCUGAGUGACUAUUGUCUACAUGGGUUGAACG
rnacentral:lncRNA from 1 species